AAAUUGAAGAGUUUGAUCAUGGCUCAGAUUGAACGCUGGCGGCAGGCCUAACACAUGCAAGUCGAGCGGAAACGAGUUAUCUGAACCUUCGGGGGACGAUAACGGCGUCGAGCGGCGGACGGGUGAGUAAUGCCUAGGAAAUUGCCCUGAUGUGGGGGAUAACCAUUGGAAACGAUGGCUAAUACCGCAUGAUGCCUACGGGCCAAAGAGGGGGACCUUCGGGCCUCUCGCGUCAGGAUAUGCCUAGGUGGGAUUAGCUAGUUGGUGAGGUAAGGGCUCACCAAGGCGACGAUCCCUAGCUGGUCUGAGAGGAUGAUCAGCCACACUGGAACUGAGACACGGUCCAGACUCCUACGGGAGGCAGCAGUGGGGAAUAUUGCACAAUGGGCGCAAGCCUGAUGCAGCCAUGCCGCGUGUGUGAAGAAGGCCUUCGGGUUGUAAAGCACUUUCAGUCGUGAGGAAGGUAGUGUAGUUAAUAGCUGCAUUAUUUGACGUUAGCGACAGAAGAAGCACCGGCUAACUCCGUGCCAGCAGCCGCGGUAAUACGGAGGGUGCGAGCGUUAAUCGGAAUUACUGGGCGUAAAGCGCAUGCAGGUGGUUUGUUAAGUCAGAUGUGAAAGCCCGGGGCUCAACCUCGGAAUUGCAUUUGAAACUGGCAGACUAGAGUACUGUAGAGGGGGGGUAGAAUUUCAGGUGUAGCGGUGAAAUGCGUAGAGAUCUGAAGGAAUACCGGUGGCGAAGGCGGCCCCCCUGGACAGAUACUGACACUCAGAUGCGAAAGCGUGGGGAGCAAACAGGAUUAGAUACCCUGGUAGUCCACGCCGUAAACGAUGUCUACUUGGAGGUUGUGGCCUUGAGCCGUGGCUUUCGGAGCUAACGCGUUAAGUAGACCGCCUGGGGAGUACGGUCGCAAGAUUAAAACUCAAAUGAAUUGACGGGGGCCCGCACAAGCGGUGGAGCAUGUGGUUUAAUUCGAUGCAACGCGAAGAACCUUACCUACUCUUGACAUCCAGAGAACUUUCCAGAGAUGGAUUGGUGCCUUCGGGAACUCUGAGACAGGUGCUGCAUGGCUGUCGUCAGCUCGUGUUGUGAAAUGUUGGGUUAAGUCCCGCAACGAGCGCAACCCUUAUCCUUGUUUGCCAGCGAGUAAUGUCGGGAACUCCAGGGAGACUGCCGGUGAUAAACCGGAGGAAGGUGGGGACGACGUCAAGUCAUCAUGGCCCUUACGAGUAGGGCUACACACGUGCUACAAUGGCGCAUACAGAGGGCAGCCAACUUGCGAAAGUGAGCGAAUCCCAAAAAGUGCGUCGUAGUCCGGAUUGGAGUCUGCAACUCGACUCCAUGAAGUCGGAAUCGCUAGUAAUCGUGGAUCAGAAUGCCACGGUGAAUACGUUCCCGGGCCUUGUACACACCGCCCGUCACACCAUGGGAGUGGGCUGCAAAAGAAGUAGGUAGUUUAACCUUCGGGGGGACGCUUACCACUUUGUGGUUCAUGACUGGGGUGAAGUCGUAACAAGGUAGCGCUAGGGGAACCUGGCGCUGGAUCACCUCCUUA
rnacentral:rRNA from 1 species